AUUGAACGCUGGCGGCAUGCCUUACACAUGCAAGUCGAACGGCAGCGGGCCUUCGGGUGCCGGCGAGUGGCGAACGGGUGAGUAAUGCAUCGGAACGUGCCAUUGAGUGGGGGAUAACGUAGCGAAAGUUACGCUAAUACCGCAUAUUCUGUGAGCAGGAAAGCAGGGGACCGCAAGGCCUUGCGCUCUUUGAGCGGCCGAUGUCAGAUUAGCUAGUUGGUGAGGUAAAGGCUUACCAAGGCGACGAUCUGUAGCGGGUCUGAGAGGAUGAUCCGCCACACUGGAACUGAGACACGGUCCAGACUCCUACGGGAGGCAGCAGUGGGAAUUUUGGACAAUGGGCGCAAGCCUGAUCCAGCCAUGCCGCGUGAGUGAAGAAGGCCUCGGUU
rnacentral:rRNA from 1 species